UACGGAGGGUGCAAGCGUUAUCCGGAUUCACUGGGUUUAAAGGGUGCGUAGGCGGCCAGGUAAGUCAGGAGUGAAAGUUUGCGGCUCAACCGUAAAAUUGCUUUUGAUACUGCCAGGCUAGAAUUAGGAUGAGGUCAGCGGAAUGUGGCAUGUAGCGGUGAAAUGCAUAGAUAUGCCGUAGAACACCAAUUGCGAAGGCAGCUGGCUAGACCUGGAUUGACGCUGAGGCACGAAAGCGUGGGGAGCGAACAGG
rnacentral:rRNA from 1 species